UUCCGGAAGGAGGGUUUAUCAACUGAACUCCCGUAAUUCAGCAAGUUGAGUGAAAGUGUGCAAGCGAGGCAAGUGGGAGAGACAGUCUCUGUCUCCAACAGCUUUGAUCCCAUCCGGCCUGCUCCCCACUCCCACGCCCCCGCCGCCCUCCGGGCAUCUGCAUCUGCGCGGGCCUGUAACUGCUCUGACUCCAGUGACACCAGCAAGUGACGUCUCCUUUGGCCAAGCAGACAAGAGCUGACCAGAGGAGCCAGGGAGCUCCGGGGCAGAGGCCUGACGGUCUGCAGCUGGCGAGAAGGAAGCCAGACCAGCGUUAGGCAUUAGCUCUAACUCAGAGCAAAGACUGCGAACCUUGCCAGGGAAGAAACUUGUUCUAAACCCCCCAAAGGUGAGGCCUGGAGAUGACUUUUCUUUUUUCUUUGGCAGCGCCCCACGGCUUAUGGGAUCUCAGUUCCCCGACCAGGGACUGAACCCUGGCCAUGGCAGUGAAAGCCCGGAAUCCUAACCGCUAGGCCACCAGGGAACUCCCCUGAACUUUCUUUGACCUUGACCUUCUUGGGGCUUACCAGGGCACUUGGAAAGGGCAAGAGUGGAAACAGGACAUGCAUCAUUGAACAUCUAGUGUGUCCUCAGCACCGUGCCAGGGAAACCAUCCAUCCUCAACUCACAGACCGUGUGGCUAAAGAGGGUUGAUCCCAACCUUUGGCUCCAGAAAAAGUCAAUCACAAUCUCAAAGGCUGUUUCAGAACUUGGCUACGUGACUGGAUCUGGAUCAAUGAGAGUUGUCGCCAGGACUUUGCUCAAAUGAUUGGUAAUGAGCCCCUCGAGCCGGCUCCAAGGGUGCCCCCGUGGGAGGUGGAGAAGGAGGACCUCUCCUCUCUGUGCCAGGCCCUGCUUCUCUGCCUGGCCAGGGCUUCAGGGUCCGCUGCUGGCUGUGCGCUUGACUGGAUCCGCCUACAUGGGGUCCCAGCAACCUCUAUGGACCGCCUCAGCUGCUCUAGAGGAUUCUAAGAUGAUGAAGACGGUGCUGGCCCUUGAAGAGAUGGCAGUUUAGUGAUGCUGAGAAACCAGGAAGUGGACGAUUACAAGAAUCCAGGGGGCCAGAGAGGAAUGCGAGAGGGCAAGUGGGGCAGACAUUGAAGCUGAACUUCUGUCACAGCUGAAUGAGUUCCUAUGCCCUAGCCGUGGAAUUGGGACUUGGAUGGCAUGGUCCACAUUUCCUUCCCGUCCUCCCCACUUUCCCUACACUCUGCAGGACGCAGUUCUUAGCCCUGAGAAAUCCUCUCAAUUUGCUGCCUUGAAUCAGUUGACCUGGUAGGACUUGUGGGAACAUGGAGGGUGGGCUUGGCCCUGCAUACUCCAGUAUCUUUAUAUACAGAAUUGCACAUUUGUUUUUACUUGGGUUUCAUUGGUUCCACUUAGUGGUGUGCUGGUAAAUGUUUAACAAGCUAACAAAUAAA